rnacentral:rRNA from 1 species
GACGAACCGUGCAAACGUUGUUCGGAAUCACUGGGCUUAAAGGGCGCGUAGGCGGGUGCUCAAGUCCGUGGUGAAAUCCUCCGGCUCAACCGGAGAACUGCCUCGGAUACUGGGUGCCUCGAGUUCGGUAGGGGAGCGGGGAAUUCCUGGUGUAGCGGUGAAAUGCGCAGAUAUCGGGAGGAACACCAGUAGCGAAGGCGGCACUCUGGGCCGGUACUGACGCUGAGGAGCGAAAGCGUGGGGAGCAAACAGGG